rnacentral:rRNA from 1 species
GACGGUACUUGAUGAAUAAGCCACGGCUAAUUCCGUGCCAGCAGCCGCGGUAAUACGGGAGUGGCAAGCGUUAUCCGGAAUUAUUGGGCGUAAAGCGUCCGCAGGCGGCCCAACAAGUCUGCUGUUAAAAAGUGGAGCUUAACUCCAUCAUGGCAGUGGAAACUGUUGGGCUCGAGUGUGGUAGGGGCAGAGGGAAUUCCCGGUGUAGCGGUGAAGUGCGUAGAUAUCGGGAAGAACACCAGUGGCGAAGGCGCUCUGCUGGGCCAUCACUGACGCUCAUGGACGAAAGCCAGGGGAGCGAAAGGGAUUAGAUACCCCUGUAGUCCUGGCCGUAAACGAUGAACACUAGGUGUCGGGGGAAUCGACCCCUCCGGUGUCGUAGCCAACGCGUUAAGUGUUCCGCCUGGGGAGUACGCACGCAAGUGUGAAACUCAAAGGAAUUGACGGGGGCCCGCACAAGCGGUGGAGUAUGUGGUUUAAUUCGAUGCAACGCGAAGAACCUUACCAGGGUUUGACAUCCUGCGAAUCUCUUGGAAACUUGAGAGUGCCUUCGGGAGCGCAGUGACAGGUGGUGCAUGGCUGUCGUCAGCUCGUGUCGUGAGAUGUUGGGUUAAGUCCCGCAACGAGCGCAACCCACGUCUUUAGUUGCCAGCAUUUAGUUGGGCACUCUAGAGAGACCGCCGGUGAUAAACCGGAGGAAGGUGUGGAUGACGUCAAGUCAUCAUGCCCCUUACAUCCUGGGCUACACACGUACUACAAUGCUACGGACAAAGGGCAGUAAGUUCGCGAGGACAAGCAAAUCCCAUAAACCGUGGCUCAGUUCAGAUCGUAGGCUGCAACUCGCCUACGUGAAGGAGGAAUCGCUAGUAAUCGCAGGUCAGCAUACUGCGGUGAAUACGUUCCCGGGCCUUGUACACACCGCCCGUCACACCAUGGAAGUUGGCCACGCCCGAAGCCGUUACUCCAACCCUUGUGGAGGAGGACGUCGAAGGUGGGGCUGAUGACUGGGGUG